rnacentral:lncRNA from 1 species
GACCGCAGGCGCCCGGCGAUUGGCGUUUGCGUUUUGCGGAGGUGGCGUCUCGCGGUGCUGCCCAGGCUCCCGGGCCCCCGCGCUCCUCCCUGCAGCGGGCGCUGCCCCCGCCGAGCCCCCGCCGAGCCCCCGCCGAGCCCCCGCCGAGCCCCCGCCGAGCCCCCGCCGAGCCCCCGCCGAGCCACCCCUGCUUCUCCCUCUCCCGGAGUUGCCUGGGACACGCGGGUCCCGCCGGCCCCCUCUCCCCGCCCGUCAUCCUCACUGUAGACUCCGGGAGAACCAGGUCGCGGCCCAGGACCCUGGCUGGACACGGUUCCCGCCGUCUCCUGUUUAGUCCGCACUGACACUAGCAGCUGCUCCAGUUACCAACGUUUAGAGCAGCAGAGAGCGGAUGGCGCCCAAGGCCGGGACCCUCUGCUGCUCCCACAGGCCUCUCAGGCGGCUCUGCAGGACCAGCCAGCAGCCUCUGAUGCUCCCUUCCUAUUCCAUGGCUUCAGGUGCCAUCCUCUCCACAGAGACGGUUUCUAUUGUGACGCUCUCCCUGACUUGGAAGAAUGGCACUGGGAACAUUCCCCUUGGUGCUGAUGUCGGGGAGGAAAGCAGUUUCCAGUCGCCUGGGGCCAGGACAUGGCGUUCCCAGCUGUUGUAGAGCAUGAAGCACCAGGAUGCCCAUUCGGGUGCCUGCUGAGAUCAGGCUCUUUGAGAAGGAAUCCUGUGGUCGCCUGAGGAAGUCCAAAAAAAUUUCGAGGACAUCUCAGCCAUCCAUCCCCUGUUCACUGUGGAGGUUGAACACCGGGGCUCCUGGAGGGGGGCCCUGGGUCUCCACAGAAGUGCUGGCAGCCACCAUCCACUUCCUGGCCUUCCGUGCCCGCUCCACCUCUGUUCUGUUGUUUACUGUCUCCUUUGUGGGAAUUAUGGAAUAAACAAUCACUCUGGUGUCCUGGAAAAUAAACCUGAUGCUGGAGGGCUUGAGUGUAGGAAUCCAGCUGGGCUCCCACUGUCUGCCCCAGGGUGCGGAGUUAGGCUUUGCAUAAGCAUGUGAGAUGCCAACCGCUAUGAAAUGUGGUCUACACAGCACCAAAAAUCCAUUUCCCACGUUUUCCCUUCAGUGCAGUUAAAUGGCAUGACCCUGUGACUGUCUCCCACGAGAAGAACUAAAAAUUACGCUGGUCCUGCCAAUGCCUACAGGAUACGGUGGCACAAAAUGAUUUCCACGGUCUUAGGAUAUAGACCCAGGCCGACUCGAGAGAUUAAGUGGAUUUCAAACUGUGGUCUUGAGCCUUCUGGGAACUGCCCGAAAGGAGGGGAAGGCGCCAGCCUCGGAGUGGUCCAGCUGCCCGGCCUGUUCACACACUGGCCUUUCAGUUGAAGACAGUGUUCAAAGCUUACCCGUGUAAAUGCCACUGAUCUGUGAACCCCCUUCCUGUCAUGCCCAGGGCCUGGCAGACUGUGGCUAGAACGGUGGGAUCAGAGCAGUGGGUCACGUGACCUGCGCACGGGUGUGCUGGCCUCCCUGGGCCGCGGUGGCCAGGACAGCCUUCCUUUCCCUUUCCAGCCACACAGGGCAAUCCGUGUGCUCAGAUUUCUGUCUCAUCAAUUACAGAGCGAGCUGCCAACCUGCUGUGCUGAGACUGUGGCCUGGUCUUGGUCCUGGUGUCCUAGGGCUGAUGACUGACCACAGCCUUUGUGCUUUUGAAGCCUAUUUGACUAUAGUCCUUGUGUGCAACUAAAAAUGUAGCUUUAAACAAUCUUGCUUUGUUUUAAUUCUGCCCAAUCUAUUUGAGAAAGGACACUCACAGGUACUUUUUAGAUUGUAGCCUAAAGUGGAUUAUUGAUUUCCUUGUUUCUCAAACGUCAGGAGGAGCAUAAAACUGCUAAUAAGAGGUGACCAAUAUUCGGUGAUACCGUGAUUUGAGACAUAAUAUUUUUU